UACGUAGGUGGCAAGCGUUGUCCGGAAUCAUUGGGCGUAAAGCGCGUGUAGGCGGCCCGAUAAGUCCGCUGUGAAAGUCCAGGGCUCAACCCUGGGAUGCCGGUGGAUACUGUCGGGCUCGAGUCCGGAAGAGGCGAGUGGAAUUCCUGGUGUAGCGGUGAAAUGCGCAGAUAUCAGGAGGAACACCAAUGGCGAAGGCAGCUCGCUGGGACGUGACUGACGCUGAGACGCGAAAGCGUGGGGAGCAAACAGG
rnacentral:rRNA from 1 species